UGGCGACCGGCGCACGGGUGAGUAACACGUAUCCAACCUGCCGAUGACUCGGGGAUAGCCUUUCGAAAGAAAGAUUAAUACCCGAUGGCAUAGUUCUUCCGCAUGGUAGAACUAUUAAAGAAUUUCGGUCAUCGAUGGGGAUGCGUCCCAUUAGGUUGUUGGCGGGGUAACGGCCCACCAAGCCUUCGAUGGAUAGGGGUUCUGAGAGGAAGGUCCCCCACAUUGGAACUGAGACACGGUCCAA
rnacentral:rRNA from 1 species